rnacentral:rRNA from 1 species
AUUGAACGCUGGCGGCAUGCCUUACACAUGCAAGUCGAACGGUAACGCGGGGCAACCUGGCGACGAGUGGCGAACGGGUGAGUAAUGCAUCGGAACGUGCCCAGUAGUGGGGGAUAGCCCGGCGAAAGCCGGAUUAAUACCGCAUACGACCUACGGGUGAAAGCGGGAGACCGUAAGGCCUCGCGCUAUUGGAGCGGCCGAUGUCAGAUUAGGUUGUUGGUGGGGUAAAAGCCUACCAAGCCGACGUUCUGUAGCUGGUCUGAGAGGACGACCAGCCACACUGGGACUGAGACACGGCCCAGACUCCUACGGGAGGCAGCAGUGGGGAAUUUUGGACAAUGGGGGCAACCCUGAUCCAGCCAUGCCGCGUGCGGGAAGAAGGCCUUCGGGUUGUAAACCGCUUUUGUCAGGGAAGAAACGCUCUGGGCUAAUACCCCGGGGUAAUGACGGUACCUGAAGAAUAAGCACCGGCUAACUGCGUGCCAGCCGCCGCCGUAACAC